rnacentral:rRNA from 1 species
GACGAACGCUGGCGGCGUGCCUAAUACAUGCAAGUUGAGCGAUGAAGAUUGGUUCUUGCACCUAUUUGAAGAGCCGCGAACGGGUGAGUAACGCGUGGGGAAUCUGCCUUUGAGCGGGGGACAACAUUUGGAAACGAAUGCUAAUACCGCAUAACAACUUUAAACAUAAGUUUUAAGUUUGAAAGAUGCAAUUGCAUCACUCAAAGAUGAUCCCGCGUUUUAUUAGCUAGUUGGUGAGGUAAAGGCUCACCAAGGCGAUGAUACAUAGCCGACCUGAGAGGGUGAUCGGCCACAUUGGGACUGAGACACGGCCCAAACUACUACGGGAGGCAGCAGUAGGGAAUCUUCGGCAAUGGACGAAAGUCUGGCCGAGCAACGCCGUGUGAGUGAAGAAGGUUUUCGGAUCGUAAAACUCUGUUGGUAGAGAAGAACGUUGGUGAGAGUGGAAAGCUCAUCAAGUGACGGUAACUACCCAGAAAGGGACGGCUAACUACGUG